CCGGAGGAAUGUGAGGAGUGAUGUCAAGUCAGCAUGACCUUUAUAUCCAGGGCUACACACACGCUACAAUGGUCUGUACAAUGGUAGCCAAGCCGCGAGGCGGAGCCAAUCCUGAAAGCAGGCCUCAGUUCAGAUUGCAGUCUGCCAACUCGACUGCAUGAAGCCGGAGUUGCUAGUAACCGCAGGUCAGCAAUACUGCGGUGAAUACGUUCCCGGGUCUU
rnacentral:rRNA from 1 species